AGGUGUCCCUGCAGGAAGUAGAAGACGAGGUCGCCGAUGUGCACCCUCUCCAUGGAUCGAUGGGGAAGGCCGGAGUCGGGGCCCCGCCGCCCUGGCGCCCCUGUCAAGCCCGCUCUUCAAGUCGGCGGGGCCGAUGGGGCGAACCAGCUCCGCGAGCUGCGGCUCGGCGCAUCACACGUGCCAGGGACACCGCCGCGGACGCGGCCGCCGUGUUGUCCUCCUCGAUGCAGUCGGACGUGGCGACCACGCGCACGGCAGCCUCCGUUGCCUCGAGGCCCCUCUCGUCCUCAUCCUUCUCCGUCCGCCAGAACACGUGCCCCCCGGAGACAGGGGCGCGGCCGCCGGGCACCGGCGCAGAUCAAGGCCGGGUCGGCUCGGACCGCCGGAGUCGCGGCGCGGCCGCCGUCGCCGCCGCUGAUCCACGCCGCCUCCCGCGCGGGGGCCCCGAGGCCGAGGUGGAGCAGGCGCGAUGGACCGCCUCCUGCUCUCCCGCCCACCGCUCCCCGUCCCCACCCACGCCGCUGCAGGCGCCGACGGCGACCUCCUCGAGCUCGACGUCCUCUAGCCCUCCAGCGCCUCCGCCUCAUCCGCGAUAGGGCUCGGCCUCCUCACCGCGCUCCCGGAGGACGAGGGCAAGAAGAAGAAACACUCUGUGGGCGGGGGCCCCGCCCAAUCCGAAAAAAUGGGCGGAGAAGGAGGCACGGCAGUGGCGAACGGAUGAAAGAAACGGAAGAGGAGGUGGACGGGAGGAGUCGCGAAGAGGGAGACAGACGGUUCUCGCGGAGGAGCACUGGCAGCGGACGGGAGGAGACGGAGCCUGGCGGUAGGAAGGAAGCCGUGGCCGCGCCGCCGCAGCAGGCUAGGCGCGCCGGCCAGGGCAGAGGCGCCUGCUAGCAAGCGGGCGUCGGAAGGGAGAGAGAGAGGAAGGGAUGGGAGGGAGGCGUGCAGGGGGCGGACGGGAGGAGAUAGAGCCUAUGACAGGUGGGAUCUACGACGGACGAAAAAAAAU
rnacentral:lncRNA from 1 species